rnacentral:ncRNA from 1 species
CAUCUGCAAGAUUGACAGAUUGGAAGCUCUUUCUCGAUUUGGUGGUUGGUGGUGGAUGACUGUUUUUUUCUGUUAGUUGGCGGAGCGAUUUGUCUGGGUUAUUCCGAUAACGAGCGAGACUCAAUAAAUUCUAAAUAAUAGCUCGACUUUUUUGUCCAGUCUACUUCUUAUAGGGAUAAACGGUGUUUAGCCGCACGAGAUUGAGCGAUAACAGGUAUGUGAUGCCUAUAGAU